rnacentral:rRNA from 1 species
UACGGAGGGUGCUAGCGUUGCUCGGAAUUACUGGGCGUAAAGGGCGCGUAGGCGGAUAGUUCAGUCGGGGGUGAAAGCCCGGGGCUCAACCUCGGAACUGCCUUCGAUACUGGCUAUCUUGAGUACGGGAGAGGUGUGUGGAACUCCGAGUGUAGAGGUGAAAUUCGUAGAUAUUCGGGAGAACACCAGUGGCGAAGGCGACACACUGGCCCGUUACUGACGCUGAGGCGCGAAAGCGUGGGGAGCAAACAGG